CUUUCAGUAUCAAAUUCAUUGAGUCUUUCUUUCCUUAAACAGCAGCACAAAGCAGAGAGGAGACAAAGGCUAGAGGAGAUGGAACGGUUCCAGGGAAGAUGAGUGAACAUAUAUACGAGAAUGACAAACAUGAAAAUGUGUAUGAGAAUGUAAAACUUGAAGAUUCAAGAAGGCCAAGGGCUCCUACUCCUCCUCAGGUAUCAAACCCUCCUCCUGUGCGCGGGUGAGGAAGUGAAAACACUGAAAAGCAUCUACGGCAAGAUGAUCUAUCAGGCUGUAUAAUUAUUAUUAUUUAUUUUUUUUACAAUUUAAAGAUAAAUAAAUUGUAU